rnacentral:misc_RNA from 1 species
GUCAUUUGACAUCAAGGGUUGCACUCAUGCUUACUGUAGGGACUGCAUGGCCAAAUACUUAGACUCAAAAUUGCAAGACAAUAUAGCUAAAAUUUCUUGUCCUGUAUCAGGUUGUGCAGGCUCAUUAGAGCCUGAGUAUUGCCGUUCAAUCCUUCCUCAGGAAGUUUUUGAUAGGUGGGGCAAUGCUUUGUGUGAAGCUCUGAUUAUGGGGUGUCAGAAAUUCUAUUGUCCCUUCAAGGAUUGCUCAGCAAUGUUGAUUGAUGAUGGAGGAGAGGUCAUAAGGGAAUCUGAGUGUCCUAAUUGCAGGAGAAUGUUCUGUGCACAAUGCAAGGUCCCUUGGCAUUCAGGGAUUCAGUGCCAAGAGUUCCAGAAAUUGCAUGAGGAUGAGAGAGAGAAGGAGGAUAUCAUGUUGAUGAAGCUAGCAGAGAAUAAGCAUUGGAGGAGGUGCCCAAAUUGCAGGAUAUAUGUUGAGAGAACACAAGGUUGCAGGUAUAUGAAAUGCAGGUGUGGCGCUGCUUUCUGUUACAGCUGUGGAACUGCUAAAACAAAUACCAGCUCCCAUUACUGUAAUUACUGCAAGGGUUGACUCUUCUGCAUGAUUUGGGUUUUGUUAGAAGAAAAAUGAAAUAUGGCAAUCUAAGUUAACUCCAUUAAAUCUUUUUUAACUAUAGCAUGUACUAAUGAUAAGCUGCUGAAAUGGAGAAAUUUGUCAAUUGGUCAAAAUUAUGAGAAGGUUGUGAAUGUGGG